rnacentral:rRNA from 1 species
GUAGGUGGCAAGCGUUGUCCGGAAUUAUUGGGCGUAAAGCGCGCGCAGGCGGUCCUUUAAGUCUGAUGUGAAAGCCCACGGCUCAACCGUGGAGGGUCAUUGGAAACUGGGGGACUUGAGUACAGAAGAGGAAAGCGGAAUUCCAAGUGUAGCGGUGAAAUGCGUAGAGAUUUGGAGGAACACCAGUGGCGAAGGCGGCUUUCUGGUCUGUAACUGACGCUGAGGCGCGAAAGCGUGGGGAGCAAACAGGGAUUAGAUACCCUGGUAGUCCACGCCGUAAACGAUGAGUGCUAAGUGUUAGGGGGGUUUCCGCCCCCUUAGUGCUGCAGCUAACGCAUUAAGCACUCCGCCUGGGGAGUACAGCCGCAAGGCUG